CCUACGGGAGGCAGCAGUGAGGAAUAUUGGUCAAUGGGAGAGAUCCUGAACCAGCCAAGCCGCGUGAGGGAAGACGGCCCUAUGGGUUGUAAACCUCUUUUGUCGGAGAACAAAACCCGGGACGUGUCCCGGACUGCGUGUAUCCGAAGAAAAAGCAUCGGCUAACUCCGUGCCAGCAGCCGCGGUAAUACGGAGGAUGCGAGCGUUAUCCGGAUUUAUUGGGUUUAAUGGGUGGGUAGGCGGUCCGUUAAGUCAGCGGGAAAAUUGCGGGGCUCAACCCUGUCGAGCCGUUGAAACUGGCAGACUUGAGUUGGCGAGAAGUACGCGGAAUGCGCGGUGUAGCGGUGAAAUGCAUAGAUAUCGCGCAGAACUCCGAUUGCGAAGGCAGCGUACCGGCGCCAGACUGACGCUGAGGCACGAAAGCGUGGGGAUCGAACAGGAUUAGAUACCCCGGUAGUC
rnacentral:rRNA from 1 species